AACGCACAUUGCGCCCACUAGUAUUCUGGUGGGCAUGCCUGUUCGAGCGUCAUUUCAACCCUCAAGCCUGGCUUGGUGUUGGGGCUCUGCGCCUGCAGUCCCUUAAAUCCAGUGGCGGACACGCUAGGUCUCCGAGCGCAGUAGUUUCUUCUCGCUCAGGGCGUCCGGCGUGGGCUUGCCUCGCACCCAUCUUAUCAAGGUUGACCUCGGAUCAGGUAGGAAUACCCGCUGAACUUAA
rnacentral:misc_RNA from 2 species